rnacentral:ncRNA from 1 species
ACUCCGGUUGAUCCUGCCGGACCCCACCGCUAUCGGGGUAGGACUAAGCCAUGCAAGUCGAGCGUCUCCGAGCCGACGGCGGAGACGCGGCGGACGGCUCCGUAACACGUAGCUAACCUACCUUCGGGACGGGGAUAACCCCGGGAAACUGGGGCUAAUCCCCGAUAGGCAAGAAGGCCUGGAACGGUCUCUUGCCUAAAGGGCGUUGGAACCGUGCUUCCGACGCCGCCCGAAGAUGGGGCUGCGGCCGAUCAGGUUGUUGGUGAGGUAACGGCUCACCAAGCCUAUAACCGGUACGGGCCGUGAGAGCGGGAGCCCGGAGAUGGGCACUGAG